ACGAACGUUGGCGGCGUGGAUUAGGCAUGCAAGUCGAACGAAUCCCAGUUGGGUAACUGACUGGGGGAAGUGGCGAAAGGGGCAGUAAAGCGUGGGUAACGUACCCCGGGGACCGGGAUAGCCCCUCUAACGAGGGGGUAAUACCGGGCGAUCCGGCGGAGGGGCAUCUCCCUGCCGGGAAAUGAAUUUCGCCUCGGGAGCGACUCACGUGCUAUUACCUAGUUGGCGGGGGUAACGGCCCACCAAGGGAAAGACGGCUAGCGGGUGUGAGAGCACGACCCGCGCCACUGGCACUGAGACACUGGCCAGACUCCUACGGGAGGCUGCAGUCGAGGAUCUUCGGCAAUGGGCGCAAGCCUGACCGAGCGACGCCGCGUGCGCGAUGAAGGCCUUCGGGUUGUAAAGCGCUGUCGAGGGGGAGGAAAGCCGCAAGGCCUGACCUAUCCCUGGAGGAAGCACGGGCUAAGUUCGUGCCAGCAGCCGCGGUAAGACGAACCGUGCGAACGUUGUUCGGAAUCACUGGGCUUAAAGGGCGCGUAGGCGGGCCCCCAAGUCCGGGGUGAAAUCUUCCGGCUCAACCGGAAAAUAGCCCUGGAUACUGGGGGUCUGGAGGGGGGUAGGGGCAGCUGGAACUUCCGGUGGAGCGGUGAAAUGUGUUGAUAUCGAGCAGGAACGCCGGUGGCGAAAGCGAGCUGCUGGACCCUUACUGACGCUGAGGCGCGAAAGCCAGGGGAGCAAACGGGAUUAGAUACCCCGGUAGUCCUGGCCCUAAACGAUGGGUACUAGGUAGUAGGCUUGACAUGGGUUUACCUGCCGAAGCAAAGUGCUAAGUACCCCCGCCUGGGGAGUAUGGUCGCAAGGCUGAAACUCAAAGAAAUUGACAGGGGCUCACACAAGCGGUGGAGCAUGUGGCUUAGUUCGAGGCUACGCGAAGAACCUUAUCCUGGACUUGACAUGUGCGAAAGCGCCAGCAGGUAGGACCCGGAAACGGGAACGAACGGUAUCCAAUCCGGAAGCUGGUACAGGUGCUGCAUGGCUGUCGUCAGCUCGUGUCGUGAGAUGUCGGGUUAAGUCCCAUAACGAGCGAAACCCCUGCCCUUAGUUGCUAGGCGUAAGCCGAGGACUCUAGGGGGACUGCCGGUGUCAAACCGGAGGAAGGUGGGGAUGACGUCAAGUCCUCAUGGCCUUUAUGUCCAGGGCUGCACACGUGCUACAAUGCCGUGAACAAAGGGACGCAACUACGCGAGUAUGAGCAAAUCCCAAAAAACACGGCCCAGUUCAGAUCGAAGGCUGCAACUCGCCUUCGUGAAGUUGGAAUCGCUAGUAAUCGCGGGUCAGCAACACCGCGGUGAAUGUGUUCCUGAGCCUUGUACACACCGCCCGUCAAGCCACGAAAGGGAGGGACGGCCGAAGUCGUUAGCAAUAACGCCGACGCCGGACUUCCUGAUUGGGACUAAGUCGUAACAAGG
rnacentral:rRNA from 1 species